UACAGAGGGUGCAAGCGUUGUUCGGAAUUAUUGGGCGUCAAGCGCGUGUAGGCGGCUUUGCAAGUCGGGUGUGAAAGCCCUCAGCUCAACUGAGGAAGUGCGCCCGAAACUGCAGAGCUUGAGUGCUGGAGAGGGUGGCGGAAUUCCCCAAGUAGAGGUGAAAUUCGUAGAUAUGGGGAGGAACACCGGUGGCGAAGGCGGCCACCUGGACGGUAACUGACGCUGAGACGCGAAAGCGUGGGGAGCAAACAGG
rnacentral:rRNA from 1 species